rnacentral:rRNA from 1 species
AGUGAACGCUGGCGGCGUGCUUAAUACAUGCAAGUCGAACGAUGAAGUCCUAGCUUGCUAGGAUGGAUUAGUGGCGCACGGGUGAGUAAUAUAUAGUUAAUCUGCCUUGCACUGAGGAACAACAGUUGGAAACGAUUGCUAAUACCUCAUACUCCAACUUUACAUAAGUUAAGUUGGGAAAGUCUUUUCGGUGCAAGAUGAGACUAUAUCGUAUCAGCUAGUUGGUAAGGUAACGGCUUACCAAGGCUAUGACGCGUAACUGGUCUGAGAGGAUGAUCAGUCACAUUGGAACUGAGACACGGUCCAAACUCCUACGGGAGGCAGCAGUAAGGAAUAUUGUGCAAUGGGGGAAACCCUGACGCAGCAACGCCGCGUGGAGGAUGACACUUUUCGGAGCGUAAACUCCUUUUGUUAGGGAAGAAUAAUGACGGUACCUAACGAAUAAGCACCGGCUAACUCCGUG